rnacentral:rRNA from 1 species
GACGAACGCUGGCGGCGUGCUUAACACAUGCAAGUCGAACGGAAAGGCCCUGCUUUUGUGGGGCGCUCGAGUGGCGAACGCGUGAGUAACACGUGAGUAACCUGCCCCUGACUUUGGGAUAACUCCAGGAAACAGGGGCUCAUACCGGAUAGGAGCUCCUGCUGCAUGGUGUGGGAUGGUAAGAUUCGGCGGUGGGGGAUCGACUCGCGGCUUAUCAGCUUGUUGGGGGAGUAGUGGCUUACCAAGGGUUUGACGGGUAGCCGGCCUGGGAGGGUGACCGGCCACAUUGGGACUGCGAUACGGCCCAGACGCCUACGGGAGGCAGCAGGGGGGAGUAUGGCGCAGUGGGCGGAAGCGUGAGGCAGCAGCGCCGCGUGCGGGAUGACGGGUUUCGGGUUGUGAACCGCUUUGGCAUGAGACGUAGAGUGAGUGACGGUAAUGGGUAAGGAAGCACCGGCUAACUACGUG